AUGCUUGCUUUGGCAGUACAUAAACUAAAUUGAAAUGACUAGCAUGACCCCUGUGCAAGGAUGUCACACAAAUUCUUGGAGCAUUCCAUAUUUUU
rnacentral:snRNA from 1 species